rnacentral:rRNA from 1 species
GUGGGGAAUAUUGGACAAUGGGCGAAAGCCUGAUCCAGCCAUGUCGCGUGUGUGAAGAAGGUCUUCGGAUUGUAAAGCACUUUAAGUUGGGAGGAAGGGCAGUAAGUUAAUACCUUGCUGUUUUGACGUUACCGACAGAAUAAGCACCGGCUAACUUCGUGCCAGCAGCCGCGGUAAUACGAAGGGUGCAAGCGUUAAUCGGAAUUACUGGGCGUAAAGCGCGCGUAGGUGGUUUUGUAAGUUGGAGGUGAAAUCCCCGGGCUCAACCUGGGAACUGCCUCCAAAACUGCAUGACUAGAGUACGGUAGAGGGUAGUGGAAUUUCCUGUGUAGCGGUGAAAUGCGUAGAUAUAGGAAGGAACACCAGUGGCGAAGGCGACUACCUGGACUGAUACUGACACUGAGGUGCGAAAGCGUGGGGAGCAAACAGGAUUAGAAACCCUUGUAGUCC